GCCCUAUGGCUCUGUGCAGAAGACACAAGAAAAUUUUAAACUGUGUAUUUCUUCCACACCAAGGUAGUCAAACUAGGCUAUCCAUCUUCAUGGCAGCCAAAUAUAUCAAUUAUCUUGCAUAGUGCCAAGUAGGUGAUACUCGAUAAAACAAACGGGAUUACAGGCUAAGUCUCUCCUGUUUAGUUCAGUUAUUAGUGGUGUUUCUUUUAUAUAUAUAUAUAUAUAUAUAUAUAUAUAUAUAUAUAUAUAUAUAUAUGUGUGUGUGUGUGUGUGUGUGUGUGUAAAUUCUCAUUUCACAUAUCUUUGAAUUAAUAGUUUCAGUCAAGUAGUUCUGAAACAUUGAACAUUUAUAAGUAUUAGUCAGCUUUCCAUUACUGUGACAAUAUACCCAAAGUAAGCAACUUAAAAGAGAAAAGGUUUAUUUUGCCUCAUGGUUUCAGUACAUGGUUGCUCGACCCUGUUGCUUUGGGCCUGUGACAGAGAACACAUGGCAGAGGAGGCCUCUUCACCUCAUGGAGGCUAGGAAGCAAAGAGAGACAGGAUGUGGCCAGAGUCCUAAUAUCCCCUUCAAGGAUACUUCCCUAAUGACCUAACUUCUUUUCACUAGGUCUCCUAAAGGUUGAAGUACAACCACAGGGCUGCCAUUCAAGCCUUCAGCACAUGGACCUGGAUGGGACAUUUAAGAUCCAAACUCCAGUAACAUCUUUUAUACAAUUUUAUUUUUAGUUAUUCUCCAGAUGUUUACAUGAGUUAGAAAUAAGCAAAACAACAAAAGCUUUUAUGAUACAUAUACAUGCAUACAUAUUUAUAUAUAUAUAUACACACAUAUAUGUGUAUACAUGUGUAUAAAUUUGUGUGUUUGUGUGUAUGUGUUUUGCUAGGGAUUGAAUCCAGGGCCCCCCAUGCAUGCUACUAGGCAAAUGCUCUGCCCCUGAGCUACAGUCUUACUCUAAAUAUACUUUGAACUCUGUCACUUUUCUACUGAUAAUAUAAGAAGGAUUAGAUUAGGAACUAUGUUUAAAAAAAAAAAAAAGGUUUGAGCUUUAGUAAAUUACUGGUAGCACAGGUCUCUAAGUUGCUGAGAGGCUGGCCUCAAACUUGAGAUCUUUCUGCCUCAGUCUCCUGAGUUGCUGAGAUUACAUGUGCUGAUUGCUAUUGUUUUAAAGCACUAAGUUUUGGGGGUGAUUUUUUACAUAGAAAUGGAUAGAAUAAAGCCAAUUGCAGUGUGCAUGCCUGUAAUCCUAGCGGUUUGGGAGGCUGAGACAGGAGGAUUGUGAGUUCAAAGCCAGCCUUAGUAAUGGCAAGGUGCUUAGCAACUCAGGGAGACUCUGUCUCUAAAUAAAAUACAAAAUAGGGCUGGGGAUGUGGCUCAGUGGUUGAGUGCCUCUGAGUUCAAUCCUCAGUACCAGAAAGGAAGGGAAGGGAAGGGGAAGGGGGAGGGGGAGGGGGAGGGGGAGGGGAGAGAAAUGAAUAGAAUAUUGUCCUAAAACUUGGGAGUGGUAGAUUUAAACCUAAGCUGGCAACUUGGUCUGACUAGUUCAUGAUUGUCUUCCAGAGUCUUUUAAAAAAAAUUUAACCAUUUGUAAGCAUACACUUCUACAGUGUUAAAUAUGUUUGAACUAUUGUACAACCUCCAUCCAUCUGCAGAACAUUUGUCAUUGCACACUGGAAGUCUGUAUCCAUUAAAUAUCAACUCUCAGGGCUGGGUAUGUUGCUUAGUGACAGAGCACAUGUUUAGCAAGGUUCUAGGUUGGAUCCCCAACAAAGUAAAAAAGAAAACUCCUCAUUCUUUCACCCCUAUAGCCCCUGGCAACUACCAUUCUUGUUUCCAUUCCUAUGAUUUUUUUUUUUUUUUUUUUUUAACCAGGAGUUGAAUUCAGGGCUACUUAACUACUGAGCUACAUCCCCACUCCUUUUUUUUUUUUUUUUUAAAUAUUUUAUUUACAGACAGGAUCUUUUUUUUUUUAAUUUAUUUAUUUUUUAGUAUUUGGCGGACACAACAUCUUUGUCUGUAUGUGGUGCUGAGGAUCGAACCCCGGGCCGCACGCAUGCCAGGCGAGUGCGCUACCGCUUGAGCCACAUCCCCAGCCCCAGACAGGAUCUUGUGAAGUUGCUUAGGGCCUCAUCAACUUGCUGAGGCUGGCUUUGAACUUCUGAUCCUCCUGCCUCAGCCUCCUGAGAGCCUCUAUGAAUUUGACUACUCUAGGUUCCUUUAUAUAAUUGGAAUCACACAAUAUUUGUCUUUUGUGUGUGUGUGUGUGUGUGUGUGUGAGAGAGAGAGAGAGAGAGAGAGACUGGGUUAUUUCAAACACAAUAUACUAAUAAAUAAUGUGUAUUCAUUUGUAUAUAAAUUCAUUAAUAAAAGUUAUAUAUAUUUAUUUAUUUAAUCCAGGUCCCAUAUGUCCAAGAAGCAACAUGCCCAAGGCAGGAUAAGGAAGGAAGGAAGGAAGGAAGCAGUGUCUCUAAGAACCACAGUUCACAGUGUCGGGCCUCUAAAGAGAUCUGAAGAAACAGAAACCCAUGAAUCAAGAAUAAGAUAAGGCUAUUUGGUUUGUUUCAACCUGUGUGCCGUUUAGUUCCCUAUCAGAGCCCUGCCUGGAGAAUGAAAUCAUUUCCAUCACUCAGCCCUUCCAAAGAUCAUCAAACACAAACACACCGUCUGCUCUUUCAUUUCCUCUGUGUCCAGGGUGUGUACUGACUUGGUGGAAUUUCUGGGACCAGCUGUGGAUUACGUAUCAAACAAAAAAACGGCCGGAAGUUGGCUCUGGGGAGAGUGAGCCUUAAAUGCUGUUUGCUUACCCUGACUAGGAGUGAGCCUCUGGUGGCUUCUUAGACUGUCUCUGCCUUCCUCCCAGCCUAAGGGACAUAUGAAAAGGCAGUUCUGGGGUGUGGGACCUACUUUCAAUGAUUUGGUUCUCCUCUCACCACAUUCACCCUUAUUGUACCUAGACCAGCUGCUACACCUGGAAAGGAUGGAAGUGAUCUUUUUUAAUCUCUCAAGGUCUUACCCCACUGUCCUGGGCUGAAUUAUGUCCCGCCUAAUUCAUACGGUGAAGUCCUAACCUAACUCUCAGUACCUCGGAAGGUAACCAUCCUUGGAGAGGGGCUUUUUAAAGAGAUGGUCAAGUUAGGAGGAGCUCAUUAGGGUGGGCCCUACACCAGAAUGACUGGUGUCCUUAGAAGAAGAGAUCUGGGUGCACAGGUACAGAUUAAGGGAGAGAGGGAGAGGACAGCCUCCUGCAAGCCAAGCUCAGAGGCCGCUGACACCUUGAUCUUGGACUCAGCCUCCAGAGUGUGAGAAAAUACAGUCUUGUUGUUGAAGCCACCCUGUCUGUGGUGCUUUGUCACAGACCGAGACACCUAUCAAUGGGAAGUUCACAGCCCUGAUGUUGGACUUCAGAAAAGUUUUGAAAGUAAUAACCAAAAAUAUCCAAAGGCAAAAAUCUGGUGUUUUGGUAAAGAUUUUUUUUUUUUUUUUUACCGACUUCAGCAGGUCUAACGGAGGCAGUGAAGGCUAGGACCCAGAAUGCCCAGAGAGCAGUAGGGUCACUUACUAGGUGUCUGGGGCAUGAUCAAGAGACACUUCAUAGCUUGGCACUUGUAAUCCCAGCAGCUUGGGAGGCUGAGGCAGGAGGAUUGAAAGUUCAAAACCAGCUUCAGCAACUUAGUGAGGCCCUAAGCAACUCGGUGAGAUCCUAUUUCAAAAUUAAAAAGAAUAAAAAGGGCUGAGGAUGUGGCUCAGUGGUUAAGGGCCCUGGUUCAAUUCCUGAUACCAAAAAAAAAAAAAAAAGUUACUUCAUCCCUUCAAUCCCUCUCCUCUUCUCCUGCUGUUACUCUUUGACUCUUCUUCCCCCCAGCCCUUCCCACAACACUGCUUUAUUAUCCAGUAAGUCAGAAGAAAGGAGAAAUUUGCAUUUGCCCUUCUGACAUAGCAUUGUGCAAAUCCUGAUGCUGUUUUGGGUAUUUUUGUUGGGCGGGCUGGGGGGUUGAUAUGGGUUGAAGAGGCAGCUGCUGGAGUCUAAGCAGGGGGGUGAAUGGGUGGGUGGCAGGCAGAGGGGCCCCUAAAGAUGGUGACAUCCUAAUCUAUGACUGUUAUCUCACAUGACAAGGGGGACUUUCAUGAUGUGAUUAAAAUCUUAAAAUGGAAUGGUCAUCCUUGAUUAUCUCAGUGGGGUCAGUGUAAUCACAUGGGUACUUAUAAAAGGGAGGCCAGAAGUUCAGAGACAAAGGAGACCAGGGAAAGGGGGUGGGGAGGUUUGAAGAUCUAUCCUGCUGCUGGCUUAGAGGAUGGAAUUAGGGGCCACCAGCCAAGGAAUGCAGGUAGAUUGUCAGGGACAAUAAACCACUGAGCCACAUCCCCAGACGUAUUUUGUAUUUUAUUUAGAGACAGAGUCUCACUGAGUUGCUCAGCAUCUUGCUGUUGCUGAAGCUUUGAACUUGUGAUCCUCCUGCCUCAGCCUCCCAAGCCACUGGGAUUAUAGCUGUGUGACACUGUGCCUGGCUGCAGGUAGCUUUUUGGAGCUGGGAAAGGUAGGUAAAUGGAUUCUCCUUUUAGAACCUCAAUAAAAAGAACACAGCCCUGAUGACUCAUUUUUCGACUCCUGACCCCCAGAACUGUCAGUUAUUUGAGUUGUUUUAAGUGACCAAGUUUGUGGAGUUUGUUGCAGCAACCACAGGAAACCAAAACAGGAUCAAGAUCCUUGAGAACGGCUGCUAUGACAUUUAGACAGGCGGUACUCAGAGCUCAGAAAACAAAACGCAACGAAAAAGAGACAAAGCUUCCAUGCCUUAAAAACAGGGUGCUCAAACGGUGGUCUCCCUGCCACAGUGCAGCAGCACCUGCGAACUGGUGGGUCCAGUCCUCUCAGGCUCCCCCAGCACUGUGGGAUCAUAAACUUUGGCAAUGGGUCUGGUGACGGGCCCUUCCCAGGGUUCUGCUGCACACUAAGGUUCCCUGUAGAAAGAUGUGAAUGGGGCU
rnacentral:lncRNA from 1 species